rnacentral:misc_RNA from 1 species
CGCACAUUGCGCCCGCCAGUAUUCUGGCGGGCAUGCCUGUUCGAGCGUCAUUUCAACCCUCAAGCACAGCUUGGUGUUGGGAUUCGAGGAGCGAUCCUCGGUCCCCAAACUUAUUGGCGGUCACGUCGAGCUUCCAUAGCGUAGUAAUUUACACAUCGUUACUGGUAAUCGUCGCGGCCACGCCGUUAAACCCCAACUUCUGAAUGUUGACCUCGGAUCAGGUAGGAAUACCCGCUGAACUUAA